GCCGGCAUGGUGGUGCAUGCCUGUAAUUGCAGCUACUCAGGAGGCUGAGGCAGGAGGAUCACUUGAGCCCAGGAGGUCGAGGCUGCAGUGAGCCAAGAUCAUGCCACUGCACUCCAGCCUGGGCAACACAGUGAGACCCUGUCUCAA
rnacentral:SRP_RNA from 1 species